rnacentral:rRNA from 1 species
AGGGUUUGAUCCUGGCUCAGAUUGAACGCUGGCGGCAUGCCUAACACAUGCAGGUCGAACGGUAGCAGGCCUUCGGGUGCUGACGAGUGGCGGACGGGUGAGUAAUGCGUAGGAAUCUGUCUUUUAGUGGGGGACAACCCAGGGAAACUUGGGCUAAUACCGCAUGAGCCCUGAGGGGGAAAGCGGGGGAUCUUCGGACCUCGCGCUAAGGGGGUAGCCUACGUCUGAUUAGCUAGUUGGUAGGGUAAAGGCCUACCAAGGCGACGAUCAGUAGCUGGUCUGAGAGGACGACCAGCCACACUGGGACUGAGACACGGCCCAGACUCCUACGGGAGGCAGCAGUAGGGAAUCUUCCACAAUGGACGAAAGUCUGAUGGAGCAACGCCGCGUGAGUGAAGAAGGUUCUCGGAUCGUAAAACUCUGUUGUGAGGGAAGAACAAGUGAAGGAGUAACUGCCGGUCNUGACGAAAACACGUAACCCG